rnacentral:rRNA from 1 species
GACGAACGCUGGCGGCGUGCUUAACACAUGCAAGUCGAACGGAAAGGCCCUGCUUUUGUGGGGUGCUCGAGUGGCGAACGGGUGAGUAACAAGUGAGUAACCUGCCCUUGACUUUGGGAUAACUUCAGGAAACUGGGGCUAAUACCGGAUAGGAGCUCCUGCUGCAUGGUGGGGGUUGGAAAGUUUCGGCGGUUGGGGAUGGACUCGCGGCUUAUCAGCUUGUUGGUGGGGUAGUGGCUUACCAAGGCUUUGACGGGUAGCCGGCCUGAGAGGGUGACCGGCCACAUUGGUACUAAGAGACGGCCCAGACUCCUACGGGAGGCAGCAGUGGGGAAUAUUGCACAAUGGGCGGAAGCCUGAUGCAGCAACGCCGCGUUCGGGAUGACGUCCUUCGGGGUGUAAACCGCUUUCGCCUUUGACGAAGCGUAAGUGACGGUAAUGGGUAAAGAAGCACCGGCUAACUACGUG